rfam:Streptomyces sparsogenes DSM 40356 contig00099, whole genome shotgun sequence.
GCCCCCGUAGCUCAGGGGAUAGAGCAACGGCCUCCGGAGCCGUGUGCGCAGGUUCGAAUCCUGCCGGGGGCA